rnacentral:rRNA from 1 species
CUUUGGGUUUAUAUUAUAAUAAUAAAAAAUAAAUAUUGGUGAAUUAUUUAUCUAAUAGUUGUGAAUUAGUUAAUUAAAAUUUAUUAAGUUAGUAGUAAAAAAUUUAAGACAAACUAGGGUUAGAUGCCUACUAUUUUCAUUGUUAAUAAUUUAAAGUAGUAAAAGAAAAAUCUAAAAACUUAAAUAACAUGGCAGUAUUUUACUCAUUGCAGAGGAAUUUGAAUAAUAAGAGAUAAUCCCCUUUAAUUUUUACUUAAAUUUGUUUUAUGUGUGGUUGUUUAAAUAAGUAUAUAAAUAUAAGUUUUAAAUCAGAUUUUAUGUAAAAAUAAUUAAGAAAAUUUUAAUUACAAAUAAUUACUAUAAUAGGAUUUGCAAGUAAUUAUAUAUAAUAUUUUACAGUGAAGAAGUAUUAAAAUAUGUACAUAUUGUCCGUCACUCUCAGAGAU